GCUCCAGACUCCUACGGGAGGCAGCAGUGGGGGAUAUUGCACAAUGGGGGAAACCCUGAUGCAGCGACGCCGCGUGAGUGAAGAAGUAAUUCGUUACGUAAAGCUCUAUCAGCAGGGAAGAAAAUGACGGUACCUGAAGAAGAAGCCCCGGCUAACUACGUGCCAGCAGCCGCGGUAAUACGUAGGGGGCAAGCGUUAUCCGGAUUUACUGGGUGUAAAGGGGGCGCAGACGGCGAUGCAAGCCAGGAGUGAAAGCCCGGGGCCCAACCCCGGGACUGCUCUUGGAACUGCGUGGCUGGAGUGCAGGAGGGGCAGGCGGAAUUCCUGGUGUAGCGGUGAAAUGCGUAGAUAUCAGGAGGAACACCGGUGGCGAAGGCGGCCUGCUGGACGGAUACUGACGCUGAGGCCCGAAAGCGUGGGGAGCGAACAGGAUUAGAUACCCUUGUAG
rnacentral:rRNA from 1 species